GAACAAGACCUUCGGGUCUAGUGGCGCACGGGUGCGUAACGCGUGGGAAUCUGCCCUUGGGUUCGGAAUAACAGUUAGAAAUGACUGCUAAUACCAGAUGAUGACGUAAGUCCAAAGAUUUAUCGCCCAAGGAUGAGCCCGCGUAGGAUUAGCUUGUUGGUGAGGUAAAAGCUCACCAAGGCGACGAUCCUUAGCUGGUCUGAGAGGAUGAUCAGCCACACUGGGACUGAGACACGGCCCAGACUCCUACGGGAGGCAGCAGUGGGGAAUAUUGGACAAUGGGCGAAAGCCUGAUCCAGCAAUGCCGCGUGAGUGAUGAAGGCCUUAGGGUUGUAAAGCUCUUUUACCCGGGAUGAUAAUGACAGUACCGGGAGAAUAAGCUCCGGCUAACUCCGUG
rnacentral:rRNA from 1 species